UCAGAGCUCAAGGCACCUGGGCAUGGAGGCGUACAGAACGAGGGGCAGUUCCCAUUUCAGUAGAAGUGCCCAUACACAAGGGAUGGAAAUCACUACUGGGGAAAUGCCGGAAGAAUAUGCACUUUCGUAUGUGUGAAAACCAGUGGGGAAUCUUGAGAAAAAAAUUCAGCAUGUUUCACGAUGUUUGGACACAGUAAUAACUCAUUUGGUAGUCAUUGAGAAAUC
rnacentral:lncRNA from 1 species